GAAAUAGGUUAAUCAAGAAGAAGUUUCUAACUUUUAACUUUAGCAGUGAAAAUCUGUUACUAUUUCU
rnacentral:tRNA from 1 species